rnacentral:rRNA from 1 species
UUAAGCAUAUCAAUAAGCGGAGGAAAAGAAACCAACAGGGAUUGCCCUAGUAACGGCGAGUGAAGCGGCAACAGCUCAAAUUUGAAAUCUGGCGCAAGCCCGAGUUGUAAUUUGUAGAGGAUGCUUCUGGGUAGCGACCGAUCUAAGUUCCUUGGAACAGGACGUCAUAGAGGGUGAGAAUCCCGUAUGUGACCGGCCCGCACCCUUUACGUAGCUCCUUCGACGAGUCGAGUUGUUUGGGAAUGCAGCUCUAAAUGGGAGGUAAAUUUCUUCUAAAGCUAAAUACCGGCCAGAGACCGAUAGCGCACAAGUAGAGUGAUCGAAAGAUGAAAAGUACUUUGGAAAGAGAGUUAAAAAGCACGUGAAAUUGUUGAAAGGGAAGCGCCUGCAACCAGACUUCGCGGCAGUGUUCCGCCGGUCUUCUGACCGGUUCAUUCUCUGUCGCGAGGCCAUCAUCGUCUGGGCCCGCCGGAUAAGACCUUAGGAAUGUAGCUCACCUUCGGGGGAGUGUUAUAGCCUAGGGUGAUGCGGCGAGGCUCGGGCGAGGUCCGCGCUUCGGCAAGGAUGAUGGCGUAAUGGUUGUCGGCGGCCCGUCUUGAAACACGGACCAAGGAGUCUAACAUCUAUGCGAGUGUUCGGGUGUCAAACCCCUACGCGUAAUGAAAGUGAACGGAGGUGGGAACCGCAAGGUGCACCAUCGACCGAUCCUGAUGUCCUCGGAUGGAUUUGAGUAAGAGCAUAGCUGUUGGGACCCGAAAGAUGGUGAACUAUGCCUGAAUAGGGUGAAGCCAGAGGAAACUCUGGUGGAGGCUCGCAGCGGUUCUGACGUGCAAAUCGAUCGUCAAAUUUGGGUAUAGGGGCGAAAGACUAAUCGAACCAUC